UAUGCCUACGGGGCGCAGCAGUGAGGAAUAUUGGUCAAUGGUCGGGAGACUGAACCAGCCAAGCCGCGUGAGGGAUGAAGGUACAGAGUAUCGUAAACCUCUUUUGUCAGGGAACAAAGGCGGGGACGCGUCCCCGGAUGAGUGUACCUGAAGAAAAAGCAUCGGCUAACUCCGUGCCAGCAGCCGCGGUAAUACGGAGGAUGCGAGCGUUAUCCGGAUUUAUUGGGUUUAAAGGGUGCGUAGGCGGGCUGUUAAGUCAGCGGUCAAAUGUCGGGGCUCAACCCCGGCCUGCCGUUGAAAC
rnacentral:rRNA from 1 species